rnacentral:rRNA from 1 species
UACGUAGGGGGCGAGCGUAUUCGGAUUUACUGGGCGUAAAGCGCGUGUAGGCGGCUGGUUAAGCGUGAUGUGAAAUCUCCGGGCUCAACCCGGAAACUGCAUUGCGGAACUGGCCUGGCUGGAGUGCAGGAGAGGGUAGUGGAAUUCCCGGUGUAGCGGUGAAAUGCGUAGAUAAUCGGGAGGAACACCAGUGGCGAAGGCGACUACCUGGCCUGUAACUGGACGCUGAGACGCGAAAGCGUGGGGAG